AUGCUGUUCACUUUAGAUAAAGAACACAAAGCAAAGAAUCCUUGUGAAAUAGCAAAAGGCCAAACACCAUAUGUCCCAAAAGAAAAGCACAUUCCCCACCCAAGACUGAACCCCAAACCACCACUUUUCAUCCACAAGCCAACCCCUCCACUCCAACAGAACCAAACAUGUCUAAAUCCAGCACCAUUGCCAACAGAGAUGCUGCAAAAAUGGCUGCAUAUGCUCCCGUGGAAAUAGGCACCAGAGGCACUGUUGGAUCCCUCAUAAUGAAAGAAAUUGAGCACUUCAGCCACCUCGAAUUAAGCAGCAGAUGUAGCUCACACAAGCCUCAGCCACAAUUUAAAGGCAUGGUUUCCUCUGGCAGUCAUUUGAGACCCGCUUGUGAAUCAGUGGUAAAAACACAAAAGAAGAAAAAAAGAGGCACUAGGAUCCUACCAAGCAUAUGUUCUAAGGUGGAAGUUUCAGACAGCAAUCGACCAAUUGGGAUUUCUGUAUACAGUUACAGGAAUCUAAGAUCUGAUGUGAAGAAAUUACCAG
rnacentral:lncRNA from 1 species